UGGGGAAUAUUGGACAAUGGGCGAAAGCCUGAUCCAGCCAUGCCGCGUGUGUGAAGAAGGUCUUCGGAUUGUAAAGCACUUUAAGUUGGGAGGAAGGGUUGUAGAUUAAUACUCUGCAAUUUUGACGUUACCGACAGAAUAAGCACCGGCUAACUCUGUGCCAGCCGCCGCGGUAAUACAGAGGGUGCAAGCGUUAAUCGGAAUUACUGGGCGUAAAGCGCGCGUAGGUGGUUUGUUAAGUUGGAUGUGAAAGCCCCGGGCUCAACCUGGGAACUGCAUCCAAAACUGGCAAGCUAGAGUACGGUAGAGGGUGGUGGAAUUUCCUGUGUAGCGGUGAAAUGCGUAGAUAUAGGAAGGAACACCAGUGGCGAAGGCGACCACCUGGACUGAUACUGACACUGAGGUGCGAAAGCGUGGGGAGCAAACA
rnacentral:rRNA from 1 species